rnacentral:snoRNA from 1 species
ACGACCUUACUUGAACAGGAUCUGUUCUAUAGGAUCGUACUACUGUGUCCUUGAUUUCUAAGGAGAUAGGAACAUAAAUCUGGAUGAUGAACAAAUACUGUGUGAUCAGAGCGUGAUUAACGGCUUGCAUGAUUCUCAAGUUGAGACAUCAUACUAUGCAGUAGAGGAUCGUUCUGGGUCAGUCAUCUCCGACUUGGAUGGUCUCACGGUGUUCUUACAGAUU